rnacentral:rRNA from 2 species
AAAUUGAAGAGUUUGAUCAUGGCUCAGAUUGAACGCUGGCGGCAGGCCUAACACAUGCAAGUCGAGCGGUAGCACAGAGAGCUUGCUCUCGGGUGACGAGCGGCGGACGGGUGAGUAAUGUCUGGGAAACUGCCUGAUGGAGGGGGAUAACUACUGGAAACGGUAGCUAAUACCGCAUAAUGUCGCAAGACCAAAGUGGGGGACCUUCGGGCCUCAUGCCAUCAGAUGUGCCCAGA